GUCAUCCUGAAGGCGAGCGGAGAAAGCGAGUGGAGAGGGGGGAGCCGCGCUUCACAUCAAAUGUCCCCUGUGGCCAUGGCAACAGCUUUGGGGGAGGGGGUGCCGGUCCGCGGGCCAGCAGCGGGCAGCCUGCGACUCCUGCCAGGGUCCAGCGCUCCGCUGGGGUAGAGUCCGUCAUUAGUGCUGAAUCCAGUUGUGCCCGGACCAGAAGAGACACCAGAGCCAGUCCCGUCCCCUCCCCGGGCUGGUCAUAGCAGGCCCAACCCUGGACGGACACACAAAUAUCUGUGCUGCCCACAUCCAGCCAACACAGGCAGCAGGAUAUUUCCUCCUAGUCAGACUGGGUGUUCUAAACCAUGUAGAUAAAGGCCACUUGCCCAGGAAGGGGGAGCAAGAAGGUCCUGGUUUCACCGUGAACAUAAAUCACUGUUUUGGCAGUCUACCAUACUAUCCAUCAGACUAGCCUUUCAGAGGAAAAUGCCAGAGGCAGCAACUGAAAACAGCUUGUAGGAGUCAUCAGUUAGUCACUGAAGCAAAUCAUUUGAGAGAAGAUAAAGACGAGCUCUUGACAUUCCUGGGACAAGAAGACCUGCCCUGUGAGGCUCGCCUGUGAGCGGCUCAGCUUCUCCUACCCUGGGUAAGGUAAUUGAUGAGUUAGUUAAUAUGCACAGGAGAUGCAGCACUGUCAAAAGAAGAUGGACUGCUUCUAGUCCUCACUGUCAUUACUAAGAUGAUCUCAGCCUUUCAACUUGACUGGGAGAAACCAAUUUCCUGGGGGAAGUCUCAAUAAAAUUGUUUUCCUAUCAUCAGGUGGAAAUCUUGUUAAGUGCUCCAAGGACCCUUGGUUUUAUGGGUUUGUUUUUACAGCCCCCAGCAGCCUUGGCUAGGAUUUCAUUCUAAAAUAACAUUUCCUCUCUGUAAAAAAUGUCUUGUUGCUCCAGGCUCUGGGGCUGAGUGACCCUCAUGAGUUUUUGACUGCAGGAGGCCAAGGGGUGAAAUGGAGGUUUGCAAUUUAUGUCAAAUAUGCACACAGGGACACACAGUUGGAUCUGUCCCUUCUGCUUCCUCUUUUUUAGAAGAUGAGAUGAUGACUCCUGCUGUGACUAUCCUGACAGUACCCCCAUUCAACAAUUCAGAAUUAGCAGUAGAUGUACAGUAAAUUUGUUUUUUUCCUUUUAAAUAGACUUUAUUUUUUUCUUAGAACAGUUUUAGGUUCACAGCAAACUUGAGCAGAAAGUAGAGUUUCCAUUACACUCCCUACUCCAACACAUGCACAGCCUUCCCCCAUUGUCAACAUCGUACACCAGAGUGAUACAUUUGUUACAUUGAUGAACCUACAUGGACACAUCAUUAUCACCCAAAGUCCACAGUUUGCAUUAGGGUUCACUCUCGAUGUUAUACAUUUUAUGGAUUUGGACAAAUGUAUAGUGGCAUAUAUCCACCAUCAUAGUACCCUACAGAGUAGUUUCUUGGCCUUAAAAAUCUGUACUCCACCUAUUCAUCCCCCCUCCCUUCCUAACUCCUGGCAACCACUGAUCUUUUUGCUGUCUUCCUAUUUUUGCUUUUUCUAGAAUGUCAUACAGUUGGAAUCUUACAAUAGGCUACAUACAAAGGCUACAGCCUUUCCAGAUUGGCUUCUUUCACUUAGUAAAACACAUUUAAAGUUUCUCUGUGUCUUUUCAUAGCUUGAUAUCUCACCUCUUAGCACCUGAUUAUUUGGUACAAAAUAAUAUUCCCUUGUCUGGAUCUACCACAGUUUAUUUAUCCUUUCACCUACUGAAGGACAUCUUGGUUGCUUCCAAGUUUUGUCAAUUAUGAAUAAAGCUGCUAUAAACAUCUG
ensembl:lncRNA LINC01586 long intergenic non-protein coding RNA 1586